CGUUCACUGGGAAGUAUUGACAUGGGUGUUACAUCACCAGCAGCCAAUCAGAUAACUCCAGUCGUGUUUAUACUUCUACAACCACCUUAUUACAUGUAAUUUUAAUGUAAAGAAUGACAGUACUACCCUGCCACAAAAGGAUUUUGGCUUUGAGUUAUUUUUCCGGUAAUAAACAUAUUGUCACCUGGCCACCAGUGACCAAGAGCUUGAAAUUCUGAUAUAGUUCUUCAGGCAUUUUGAAAAUAAAUACAUUUAUUAUAUGUUAAUCACCACAGCCUCCACCCCCAUAAAAAGAGGGAAGAGUUACUGAAGUUAAUUACUUAUCUAGGAUCAAGGUGAUGGGAAAUGAAAAUGGACUUAAAAAUUUUUAUUUUGCUGGGCACGGUGGCUCACGCCUGUAAUCCCAGCACUUUGGGGGC
rnacentral:lncRNA from 1 species